UCUGGACACGGUUAUCCGAUGGAUUAGC
rnacentral:sRNA from 1 species